AGCCGAGCACUUCCUCUCGAAAUACCGUCGCUCUGCUCCUUUUUGCUGUUGAGGGAUCAUUUUCAUCGGGGAAGAGCAUUCGAAGAGAGUAGAGCCAAAAAAAGAAGACAAACUCUGAGUCAAACAACUUGGAAUUAACGUUGGUCUCAUUUGUGGGCAGAAAAUUUGGAGAAGCGAGCCCGGAUCGUGAUAUUUUUGGGGGUCUGCUGACGCCAUCGUCUACAAGUACCGGACCAGGUUCCCAGGCUGAGAAGUCACCGAUAAAAAGCUUGGAUUCCAGUGUGUCACCUGUCCGUCCCAUCGUAAACUCGUCCCACCCGAGACGUCCAGUCAGCCGGGCCCGUCUGCAUUCUCAUUCGCAGUGACUGGCCAAAGUGGCCGCUCCACUCCAAGGUUAAGGUGGCUUUCGGUCCUAGACUUAGUCCUUGUUCAGAGGGCAGGGCAGAGCCGAACAGAAACAGCGACGCGGCAGCUGAGCCGAGCUCAGCCAGACAGACGCGCUGACCUAAAUCAGCCCCAGUCAUGUCUGGACGCAGCCAGAGCGAAGCAGACGGAGAGGAAGACAGAGCGAGAGAGAGAGGGAGAGAGCGACCCACACGUACUGACUCGAACAUAUACUCGCACUACGUAAACGGCCGGAUAAAAGACGGGCUGAAGUGAGUUGGUCAGACAGGCCUUGCCAAAGCCACAGGCUGUUCUGCUGCUUUGCUGCCGCUGUGGUGUUUUGAUGUGCGCUGCUGUGCAGAUGCAGUUUUUGGGCGAUCACCAACAAGCUACCAUACAGGAGGAGACUCUGGUAAAGUAAGGGAUAUCUUUCAAGUAAGAAAAUCCUGCUCCAGUGUGCCACAAGUCAUGGGGGAAGACAGGGCUUUGGAAGGAGAAAGAAAACCUUUGUUAUUUUCUGUCCAUGGAGAAGUAUGUGAAGGCAUAAAUUCAUAAUGCCUCUCCAAGAAACGUAUAUGUUGUUGGGAAAGCUAUUUUAAAAAACUAGCUUGCCAAGGUAAGACACAUUUAAACUAGUUAAACUCUAUAAGAUAGCAAGCAAUAAGCAGAUAUUGACUGAAGCUACUUAAAAGUGUAGUAAAACCCCAAAAAACUGAAAAUUCUGUCAUUAUUUACUCACCCUCAUGUCAUUCAAAACGUGUAUUUCUUUCCUUCUUCUGUGGGACACAAUGUUUUGAUGAUCAGUAUGAACCAAAGAGUUUUGGUAACCAUUGACUUCCAUUAUAUGGACAAAAAAACACAGACAUUUCUCAAAAUAUCUUCUUCUUUUGUGUACAGCUAAUUAUUCAGAUAAUCAGGUUUUUGAUUUUAUGCACAAUGAGAGUAAACAUAUCAAACAUAUACACUACUGAUUAAAAGUUUGGGGGUCGGUAAGAUUAUUAUUAGUAGUGUAGUAUCUUAUGUCUUUAAUGUUUUUAUUCUCACCAAAGCUGAAUUUGUUUGAUGGAAAAUACAGCAAAAC